UCCAGACUCCUACGGGAGGCAGCAGUGGGGGAUAUUGCACAAUGGGGGGAACCCUGAUGCAGCGACGCCGCGUGGGUGAAGGAGUAUUUCGGUAUGUAAAGCCCUAUCGGCAGGGAAGAAGCAAGACGGUACCUGACUAAGAAGCCCCGGCUAACUACGUGCCAGCAGCCGCGGUAAUACGUAGGUGGCAAGCGUUAUCCGGAUUUAUUGGGUGUAAAGGGCGUGUAGGCGGGAAUGCAAGUCAGAUGUGAAAACUCAGGGCUCAACCCUGAGCCUGCAUUUGAAACUGUAUUUCUUGAGUGCUGGAGAGGCAAUCGGAAUUCCGUGUGUAGCGGUGAAAUGCGUAGAUAUUAGGAGGAACACCAGUGGCGAAGGCGGCCUGCUGGACGAUGACUGACGCUGAGGCUCGAAAGCGUGGGGAGCAAACAGGAUUAGAUACCCGAGUAAG
rnacentral:rRNA from 1 species